rnacentral:rRNA from 1 species
UACCAGCACCCCGAGUGGUCGGGACGUUUAUUGGGCCUAAAGCAUCCGUAGCCGGUUCUACAAGUCUUCCGUUAAAUCCAUCCUGCUUAACAGAUGGGCUGCGGAAGAUACUAUAGAGCUAGGAGGCGGGAGAGGCAAGCGGUACUCGAUGGGUAGGGGUAAAAUCCGUUGAUCCAUUGAAGACCACCAGUGGCGAAGGCGGCUUGCCAGAACGCGCUCGACGGUGAGGGAUGAAAGCUGGGGGGAGCAAACCGG